rnacentral:rRNA from 1 species
CCUACGGGUGGCAGCAGUAGGGAAUCUUUCACAAUGGGCGAAAGCCUGAUGGAGCAACGCCGCGUGCAGGAUGAAGGCCUUCGGAUUGUAAACUGCUGUUAUAAGCGAGAAAUAUGAUGGUAACUUAUGAAUAAGGAUCGGCUAACUACGUUCCAGCAGCCGCGGUCAUACGUAGGAUCCGAGCCUUAUCCGGAGUGACUGUGUGUAAAGAGUUGCGUAGGUGUCGUACAAAGUAGCUAGUGAAAUCGGGUGGCUCAAACAUUCAGACUAUUAGAUAAACUGUUUAGCUCGAGACCGAUAGGGGUAACAGGAAUUUCUAGUGUAGGAGUGAAAUCCGUAGAUAUUAGAAGGAACACCAACAGCGUAGGCAGGUUACUGGGA